AAGAAGCCCUGAAGUCUAAAUCAUCCCAGCCCAAAUGCACAGAAAUAUGAAGUCUUCUUUAAUUCUUUGAAAAAUGAAAAUUUCUUGCAGAAUGAGGGCAACACACUUUAGUUUCAUUACAAGUUUUUUGAACUGCGGCAUUACCUUAUGCAAAUAUACUGCUGAUGCAGUGCUUUAUGAUUAAUGCUCCAGCACCGAGUUCAAAUAGGACACAUUUGUUCUAGCACAGUAAAGUUUGGGUAUUUGCCCCUAUCACGAAGCUAGUCAUCCAAAAAAAUCCACCUGUUACAUUUUUAGUUACCCUGACAUACAGACAGACAGGCAACAGUGAAAGGGUGGUCACGUAGUCAGCUCCACCUAAUGGUGACAGAGGUAAAUUACAUCACAGUCAGGCUUAUUUAAAGCAGAGAUUAAGUGGUAUGUCAUUAUGAAGAUGAAGACCUCUUCAGUGCAAAUGCGCUUAGUGACUAAAAUGUUUCAGUGUUAUACGGGGACAUGGAUUUUGUUUUUGUUGAUAAUUUCAGAGUGCUUUAAACUGCUGAUAGUCUCAAUCUGUGACUGAUUAAGCCCACUGGCACACCUGCUGGUGAUUGCAAUUAGCUUGUCUUAAAAACAGGUGUGCGAGAAGCAGACAAAUGGCCAUUUUGCAAGAAGUGGGCCUGAGGUUUUGUCUAUGAAAGGCAUGCAAUUUCCCCAUUGUGGUUUUAUUUUUUUAAUGAAUGUCUUUUUUUGGAGUACUCCCUAUCUCCAGCGUUUCUCUUAAAUCAUUUUGUAAGAGAAGGAGCUCCACCAGCUUCUGGUAGACGAUCCUUUCCUCCGCCAAGCUGUGGAACUUCUCCACGUACCGCUUCCCGUUACUCACGAUGCUCUCCAGCAGGGGGCGAUCUUCCAGCAGCCUCUUGGACAUGGUGACAAACUCCUGCCGGGAAAGGAGAGAGGACAAUGUGCGUUAGCACCUAAUUACGAAGAACAGAACUGCGACUCGCUCGAGUUUGUUUACUGAAACUGUUCACUGAAUGGAAAAUGCUGACUCAGACAGUCACUGUGUUUUCACCAUUUUUCAAAAUGUGACAGCCUGGCUUAAUGGCAGUUUUGGACAAACCUUAUCAAGACAGGUAGUGAUAUGAACUUGAAGGCUGCUUUCAUGUGUGAUGAGAUUCUGUGAAGUGUGAUAUGUACAGAAGGAAAAAUGAGAGGGUGAAUCCUCAGUGGAUGAUGCGUGUCACUCAAAGGAUUGAUUGCUCACUAAACAGCUGAUCAGAUGGCUUCACCUUGCUUAACCUCCACCUUCUCUACAACCCUGAUAAGUUUGUUAAUUAUUUAGCCCUGAGGUGUCAAGAAAGGCCAUCUGUCAGGUUUCUUCUCACUACUUAAAGACUCUGGGCUCUCACAAACACAAAGACAAACACAAGGGGGUCAGAGAGGGAGGUGAAACAAAGACAAACUCAUUAAAAUUAAUCACUACGACAACCCAGAA